ACGGGUGAGUAACACGUGGAUAACCUACCUAUAAGACUGGGAUAACUUCGGGAAACCGGAGCUAAUACCGGAUAACAUAUUGAACCGCAUGGUUCAAUAGUGAAAGGCGGCUUUGCUGUCACUUAUAGAUGGAUCCGCGCCGUAUUAGCUAGUUGGUAAGGUAACGGCUUACCAAGGCAAUGAUACGUAGCCGACCUGAGAGGGUGAUCGGCCACACUGGAACUGAGACACGGUCCAGACUCCUACGGGAGGCAGCAGUAGGGAAUCUUCCGCAAUGGGCGAAAGCCUGACGGAGCAACGCCGCGUGAGUGAUGAAGGUCUUCGGAUCGUAAAACUCUGUUAUCAGGGAAGAACAAAUGUGUAAGUAACUGUGCACAUCUUGACGGUACCUGAUCAGAAAGCCACGGCUAACUACGUGCCAGCAGCCGCGGUAAUACGUAGGUGGCAAGCGUUAUCCGGAAUUAUUGGGCGUAAAGCGCGCGUAGGCGGUUUUUUAAGUCUGAUGUGAAAGCCCACGGCUCAACCGUGGAGGGUCAUUGGAAACUGGAAAACUUGAGUGCAGAAGAGGAAAGUGGAAUU
rnacentral:rRNA from 1 species